GAUGAACGCUGGCGGCGUGCCUAAUACAUGCGAGUCGAGCGAACGGACGAGAAGCUUGCUUCUCUGAUGUUGGCGGCGGACGGGUGAGUAACACGUGGAUAACCUACCUAUAAGACUGGGAUAACUUCGGGAAACCGUAGCUAAUACCGGAUAAUAUUUUGAACCGCAUGGUUCAAAAGUGAAAGACGGUCUUGCUGUCACUUAUAGAUGGAUCCGCGCUGCAUUAGCUAGUUGGUAAGGUAACGGCUUACCAAGGCAACGAUGCAUAGCCGACCUGAGAGGGUGAUCGGCCACACUGGAACUGAGACACGGUCCAGACUCCUACGGGAGGCAGCAGUAGGGAAUCUUCCGCAAUGGGCGAAAGCCUGACGGAGCAACGCCGCGUGAGUGAUGAAGGUCUUCGGAUCGUAAAACUCUGUUAUUAGGGAAGAACAUAUGUGUAAGUAACUGUGCACAUCUUGACGGUACCUAAUCAGAAAGCCACGGCUAACUACGUG
rnacentral:rRNA from 1 species